AACGAACGCUGGCGGCAUGCCUAACACAUGCAAGUCGAACGAGACCUUCGGGUCUAGUGGCGCACGGGUGCGUAACGCGUGGGAACCUGCCCUUAGGUUCGGAAUAACUCCCCGCAAGGGGUGCUAAUACCGGAUAAUGUCUUCGGACCAAAGAUUUAUCGCCUUUGGAUGGGCCCGCGUUGGAUUAGCUAGUUGGUAGGGUAAAAGCCUACCAAGGCGACGAUCCAUAGCUGGUCUGAGAGGAUGAUCAGCCACACUGGGACUGAGACACGGCCCAGACUCCUACGGGAGGCAGCAGUGGGGAAUAUUGGACAAUGGGCGAAAGCCUGAUCCAGCAAUGCCGCGUGAGUGAUGAAGGCCUUAGGGUUGUAAAGCUCUUUUACCCGGGAUGAUAAUGACAGUACCGGGAGAAUAAGCUCCGGUUAACUCCGUG
rnacentral:rRNA from 1 species